CCCCGCACACACACCGCACCCGCAGCCGCCACACCUGUGCAGGAGUCCGCGUGCGCCCCGCGGCGGAGCGCGCAGUGACCUCUUUACAUAAGCCCAGGCCGCGUCGCGCCCCGCGGGGGAGGGACAGGGCACCGCAGGAGCCGCUCGCGGAUCCACAGGGUGGGGAAAGCGGGGCACCGAAGCCAGACAUAUCCACGGAGAAACUGACAGAUGUACAGAUGUGCAGACACACAACGAAGACACAGGGGCAAUCUCCCCACCCCGCCUCCUUCUGCAGCUCGGUCUCGUCAUCAGCCCGGCACCGGCACCACUGCCCGUCUUCACGCAGCUCAGAGUGGAAACCUGCUUGCCGAGGCUCCAGCCCACAGGGCUGGUAGUCGUUUCAAGACACCCUCUAAUAACCUCUCGAGGACAGUAUCCUCUCGUAACUCAGGUGCCCAUGACACCAGUCGGCCACCUGGUCUGGGGCACUGCUCAGCCUGUGGGGUCCUCCUUUUAUCUGGUUCCGCAUAAUGCCCUGAGAUUCAUCCAGGUUGUUUCAAGAU